rnacentral:rRNA from 1 species
CACAUGCAAGUCGAACGGUAACAGGAAGCAGCUUGCUGUUUCGCUGACGAGUGGCGGACGGGUGAGUAAUGUCUGGGAAACUGCCUGAUGGAGGGGGAUAACUACUGGAAACGGUAGCUAAUACCGCAUAACGUCGCAAGACCAAAGAGGGGGACCUUCGGGCCUCUUGCCAUCGGAUGUGCCCAGAUGGGAUUAGCUAGUAGGUGGGGUAACGGCUCACCUAGGCGACGAUCCCUAGCUGGUCUGAGAGGAUGACCAGCCACACUGGAACUGAGACACGGUCCAGACUCCUACGGGAGGCAGCAGUGGGGAAUAUUGCACAAUGGGCGCAAGCCUGAUGCAGCCAUGCCGCGUGUAUGAAGAAGGCCUUCGGGUUGUAAAGUACUUUCAGCGGGGAGGAAGGGAGUAAAGUUAAUACCUUUGCUCAUUGACGUUACCCGCAGAAGAAGCACCGGCUAACUCCGUGCCAGCAGCCGCGGUAAUACGGAGGGUGCAAGCGUUAAUCGGAAUUACUGGGCGUAAAGCGCACGCAGGCGGUUUGUUAAGUCAGA